GACGAACGCUUGCGGCGUGCCUAAUGUAUGCAAGUCGAGCGAGGAAGCUGCUUCGGUGGCUCUCCGAGCGGCGAACGGUUGAGUAACACGUAGGCAACCUGCCCCAGAGUGGGGGAUAACUCGCGGAAACGCGGGCUAAUACCGCAUGUGGCCCGAAGUCGCCUGGCUUCGCGGCUAAAGGAGCAAUCCGCUCUGGGAGGGGCCUGCGGCCUAUCAGGUAGUUGGUGAGGUAACGGCUCACCAAGCCUACGACGGGCAGCCGGCCUGAGAGGGUGACCGGCCACACUGGGACUGAGACACGGCCCAGACUCCUACGGGAGGCAGCAGUGGGGAAUAUUGCACAAUGGGCGCAAGCCUGAUGCAGCAACGCCGCGUGAGGGACGACGGCCUUCGGGUUGUAAACCUCUUUUAGCAGGGAAGAAGCGAAAGUGACGGUACCUGCAGAAAAAGCACCGGCUAACUACGUGCCAGCAGCCGCAGUAAAAC
rnacentral:rRNA from 1 species